UUUAAUGCGAAGAAAAGAAGAGUACUAAAUGAAAUUUUCUAAAGAGAGCUAGAAUAGGUGAAAACUAGCGAAAAAGAAGUUUGGGAACAUGGUCUUGGAGCAGAUUUUCUGAAGUGUAGUCACCAAGGAAAAUAGGGAAGUCCCCCUUAUAGGACAAAGUAAUAAAUGCUAAGGCUGAGUUACUUAUUGAGGUGUCUACUGUGAAGUAGAUAUGAAUUAGAGUGGUAACACGUAUAUAACGUCUCUAUG
rnacentral:ncRNA from 1 species